AAAGGAAGGAACCACGCGGAGAAGAAAGGAAGAGAAGAUAGGGAAAUUUCAGAAGACAAGAAUCUUCCUUGGAAAAAGCAAAGAAGCGGAGAAAGGUCCGGCCUUUUCAAGCCCAAGUAAUACUCGAUAAAGAACAUUAACUCGACCCCUGAUUGCAAUUUGGAACUCUUCGUUUCCUUGCGGCUUCUUUUUCUCUCUGAUAUCUUGAAUAAAGAAGGGCAGAAGCCCACAAAUCUUUGCUCUUCUACCGAAGAUUCGACCCUUGUGCCUUUGGUUAGGAGUUUAGGCGGGCUGGAGCUGUGGACGGAGAGCAGCUGGUGGAGCGGCGCUGCAAUGGAAUCGGGGAGUUGAGAGAGAAAUAGAUAUGCGCGGUUUGGCUUCUUGAGAUCCGUCAUGAGCUGAGGAAGCGGAAUUUGAGAUCAAAUUUGGACCUUUUGGCUAUAUUUUUGGGAGAAAGGAGAAGAAGAGGAGGCUCUGCUUUGUUUGUUCCCUGCCAGCUUCAUGAUGACCACCAAGCGUGCCUAUAAGCUACAGGAGUUUGUAGCACAUGCUUCCAAUGUGAAUUGCCUCAAGAUUGGGAGGAAGACUUCAAGGGUUCUUGUCACCGGUGGAGAAGAUCGCAAGGUCAAUCUCUGGGCUAUCGGCAAACCCAAUGCCAUACUGAGACUGUCAGGCCAUACAAGUGCAGUCGAGUCGGUAAAUUUUGAUUCAUCAGAAGCUUUAGUGGCUGCUGGGGCUGCCAAUGGCACGAUAAAGUUGUGGGAUUUAGUGGAGGCAAAAGUUGUUUGCACUCUAACAGGGCACAGGUCCAACUGCAUAUCUGUUGAUUUUCAUCCAUUUGGAGAAUUCAUUGCAUCUGGGUCUUUGGAUACAAACCUAAAGAUAUGGGAUGUCCGAAGGAAGGGAUGCAUCGACACAUACAAAGGGCACAGUGGAGGAAUCAAUGCAAUUAGAUUCACCCCAGAUGGCCGAUGGGUUGUUUCAGGUGGAGAAGAUAACAUUGUGAAGCUCUGGGAUCUGACAGCUGGGAAGCUCUUGCAUGAUUUUAAAUGUCAUGAAGGUCAAAUUCAGUGCGUAGAUUUCCAUCCUCAUGAGUUUCUUCUGGCAACAGGUUCAGCUGACAAAACUGUUAAAUUUUGGGAUCUUGAAACUUUUGAGAUGAUUGGGUCAUCAGGACCUGAGACCAGCAGUGUGCAUUCCAUGACUUUUAACCCUGAUGGGGAAACUCUAUUUUGUGGAUUGCAUGAAAGCCUGAAGGUUUUAUCUUGGGAGCCAAUAAGAUGUCAUGAUGUAGUGGAGGUGGGAUGGUCUAGAUUGUCAGAUCUGAAUGUCCAUGAGAGGAAACUUCUUGGAUGCUCUUAUAACCAAUAUUAUGUUGGAGUAUGGGUUGCUGACCUUACGCAGGUUGAGCCUUAUGCAGGGUCCGGUGUUGUUAGAUUAAAUGGCCAUUCAGAAUCAAACUCCGAUACCACCAGUAAUCAGUCGCUGAAGAUUGACAGCAAUAUAAAGACCAGUAUGGGAAGGUUAUCCAUUUCACAAGAUUCAGUAAACAGUAUCAAGACUACCAUGGGAAGGUUAUUGGUUUCAGAAACUGUAGCUAAGGGGACCAAACCUUUAAUUUCUCCAGGAAUUCCCCCUGGUAUUCCCCAAAGAACUGGAUUAAGCUCUGCGCUGAAAAUGGCUGCAACAAAUUCAGCUACAGCACCAGGCACUGCAGUGUUAAAGACAAGUUCAUCAAAGUUCGAUGGAACAACCAAUUUUCAGAACAUUAACAAGUCUGAUGUGGUGCCUGUCAUUGUCCCCAGAACUAGCUUAAGAGCUGAUGUGGCUGCUGACUCUAGAAAAGAAAUGGAUGAUGUGGUACAUGUCCCCAAAACCAACUCAAGCAUAGGAUUGACUCUUGAUCGUCGAAAACAUGUCAGCAAUGUGUUUGUCAUCACCAGAACUACUCAGUCAAAGGUGACUGAUUUACACAAAUUUUCAAAUAACAGAUUUGAUUCAGAGAGAGCAAAUGUACGAUUUCGAUAUAGAUCCAUGGCCAAUAAGAGCACUGAAUCAAAUGAAAAUGUAGACUGCAAUCUCCAUCCUCCUAUCAAUGGCUUUGAUCACACAUCUGCUGGAAAAAGGAACCUGGAAAAUGUUCAAAUAACUAAGGCUGGGAAGGCUGAAGAAAACCUAUCAGUGGAUCCUCAACCGAGUUACUUGUUUCAAAAUAAUGAUCCUAGAUUAAUUAAACCAAGGGAAGCAAACUCCAUGGAAGUUCUGGAAGGAGGAAGAACACAAUCACUAGUCAUGACUUGGGAAAGGAGGGAAAAAUCUCCUAGUUAUGAAGGUCCCACAAGCAGUAAUUCUUCUCAAAAUAUAUCUACUGGUAGCAUUAAUUUGACUUCGAGGGGCCACAUUUCAUCAGCUGGGCAGGAAAUCUUAUCUGUUAGUGAUGAGGAUGCUAUUGCUGAUUUGAUGGAACAGCAUAAACAAUUCCUAACUUCUUCUCAGUCUCGGUUAACAAAAUUGCAGGUAGUUCGCCAGCUUUGGGACAGGAAUGAUCUCAAAGGUGUCAUUAGGGCAAUGGAGAAGAUGUCUGAUUAUGCUGUCUCUGCUGACAUACUCAGCAUUCUGAUGGAAAAAGGUCAUGCUGUUACACUGGAUCUUUAUACUUGUCUCUUACCACUCCUUGCAAGCCUUUUGGAGAGCAAAAUUGAUAGUUAAGGUGGUUUGGCAAGUCAUGUCCAUUUCACAUGAAGCGUGUACCAAUCCUGCAUGCUUGCUAUCUUAAAUUAACAGAUAUACAAGUAUUUCUUUGGAGAUGCUGCUGAAGCUUAUCAAAAUAUUCGGUCCUGUAAUCCACUCAGCUCUCUCAGCUGUUCCAUCUGUUGGGGUUGACCUUCAAGCAGAGGAGAGGCUGGAAAAAUGUAAUUUAUGUUUUAUUGAGCUUGAAAAGAUCAAACAUAUUCUCCCUUCUCUCACAAGAAGAGGAGGGUCUAUCGCAGAGUCUGUGCAGGAGCUGAACCUCACCCUUCAAGAAGUGCUGUGAGUAACUGACUGAUAUAUAAUCAUACAUAGAUGGUUAUGAUGCACAAUUCUUUUGCUUCUCCUGUAUAGCACACUGUACAUAUAAUUACUGCCAGAGAAGCAUGUUCUUGAAGGAGGGGUACAGUUCCCUGCAUGUUACUGUCAACUUCAACCAUGACUCCAAAUACUUCAGCCAUGGUGGUCGGUGAUAUCUUACAUACUGCAUUAUACCAGAACAAAUGAAGUACAAACCAGAAAAGGACACGUCAUGCAAUAACAUGUGAAAUGCUGACCACAAGAUGGAGAGGCCCCUUUAGAUGUCCUUUUUAAUUGUUAGCUACAUGUCUGAUGCUUUGUUAUCUCAAGCAUAUAUUUUACAGAGGUUUGUAAUUAUUUAUCUGCAUUAGCGCAUGUGCUUGGUCCUAUUCAAUAUUGAAUUAUUUAUUUCUCCUCAGAAUGGGCAUGUGUUGCUCCAUCCAUGUCACCACACCCAAACUUGGGUGAUAGAUGCUGAGAGGACAUGUUCUUCAUUUUGCUGUUUGACAAGUAUCAUUCUUUAAUUAUUAUGAAGAGGAAAGUUACACACCUUUGCCAAU